rnacentral:rRNA from 1 species
GACGAACGCUGGCGGCGUGCUUAACACAUGCAAGUCGAACGGGCCUUGUCCCCUUUUUUUUUGGGGGUGGGGUUAGUGGCGAACGGGUGAGUAACACGUGAGUAACCUGCCCCUCACUUCUGGAUAACCGCUUGAAAGGGUGGCUAAUACGGGGUGUUCUGGCCUGCUCGCAUGGGUGGGUUUGGAAAGCUUCGACCGGUUUUGGUUGCUUUGGUGGGUGAUGGGCUCGCGGCCUAUCAGCUUGUUGGUGGGGUGGUGGCCUGCCAAGGCUUUGACGGGUAGCCGGCCUGAGAGGGUGCGCGGUCACACUGGGACUGAGACACGGCCCAGACUCCUACGGGAGGCAGCAGUGGGGGAUAUUGCACAAUGGGCGCAAGCCUGAUGCAGCGACGCCGCGUGAGGGAUGGAGGCCUUCGGGUUGUGAACCUCUUUCGCCAGUGAAGAAGGUCCUGCUCUUUGUGGUGGGGUUGACGGUAGCUGGGUUAAUGAAGCGCCGGCUAACUACGUG